GUGCCCGCCACCACGCCUGGCUAAUUUUUUUUUGGUACUUUUAGUCGAGACAGAGUUUCACCGUGUUAGCCAGGAUGGUCUCGAUCUCCUGACCUCGUGAUCUGCCUAUCUCGGCCUCCCAAAGUGCUGGGAUUACAGGUGUGAGCCACUGCGCCUGGCCUGCUGCAUGUUUUUAUCAUAGUGAGUUCAGGAAUUCUCAGGUGUUGCUGCAUCUUUUGAGAUGACUAUGUGGUUUUGUUUUUUAUCAUAUUAAUAUAGUGCAUGGCAUUAAUUGUACUUGAAUGUUGAACCAAAUGUUGCUUUCCUGAGGUAAAUACCCUUGACAUAUUUUAUAAUACUUUUUACAUGUUGCUGAUUUGUUUUACUAGGAUUUCCUUGAUGAUUUUUGGCUCUAUAUUCGUAAGGUGUGUUCUUAAUUUUCAUUAUUUGAAAUCUGUUUGUCUAGUUGCGGUAUCAGGGUAAACCAACUCACAGUAUAAAUGAAAUGCGAUGCCUUCUCCACUUUGUUGUUGUUGUUUUUAACAACUUAUUAUAAAUUAAUAUUAAUUGUUAAGUGAUUCCAAUAACUGACUAAUGAAUUAUCUUGACUGGGGCAAGGAAGCAAAUCCUAGGAACAAUCACGUGAGCUUGGAAGGAGACCUUUCCCCAGCUGAGCCUCAGCCUGGGCCAUCACCUGCAUCUGGACUGAAGACCCAAAGAAACUACUCCAUCAGGAAUUGUUUGAGACCAUGCAUUAUGUGGACACUCAUAUCGUGGAAUUAUAUUGCCAAUUGGCAUUCCUAAAGCUUCUACGCUAGCAGAACCUGCAGUCCAGUUAUCACAAAAAAAUGGAAAACAUGAAAGCUAGAAUUUUUGUAGGGAUUGUAUUGAAUCUGCAUAUACAUUUGGAAAGUAUAAGCAUCUUGGUUUGGAGUAAUUCACCAGUGAAGUCUUCUCAACCUGGGCAAUCAUGUGAGCUUGGAAGAUGAUGCAUCCCCAUCUCAUCUUUCAGGUGAAACCUCAGCCUUGGCCAUCACCUACAUCUGGAUUUCUGACCCAGAGAAA
rnacentral:lncRNA from 10 species